AAUGUAUAUCCGUAUACUUUAAAAAAAAUUGAAAAAGAACUAAACACGGCCCUAAUAUGGGAGUACUACUUAUCAUAUUUCCUCAAUAUUAAAAUAAAUCAACCUAAAAUACACAGACUAAAUCAUUUUCUAGGUUGGUUUAAUUUAAAAUGAGGGGAGUAUGUACGUAGCUGUGCCGGCCGUAUAUAGGCAUAUUAUUGUUAUUGUUAUUGUUGUACAUACAUGGCCAAAAAUAUACUGCAUUACUGAUAAAAUUUAAGGAAGUUUUUUAUUUCGUUGAAUGCUAUUAGGGCAUGUUUAAGGGUGUGAUCGUCCCUAGCACGCAAAGCGAAGCAGCGUUUAAUGCAUGAUUAAUUAAGUAUUAGCUAAAAUAAAUUUGAAAAAGGGUUAAUAUGAUUUUUAUAGUAACUUUUAUAUAUACACACACACACCUUUAGCAGUUUGCAAAGCCUGCGCGCAGAAAACGAGGUAGGUGAGUUGGAAAGUAGAGAUAAGAACAAGAUUAUGGCCUUGUUUAGUUCCAAACUUUUUCUUUAAACUUUCAACUUUUCCAUCACAUCAAAAUUUUUCUACAUAUAUAAACUUUCCUACACACAUAAACUUCCAACUUUUCCAUCACAUCGUUCCAAUUUCAACCAAACUUCCAAUUUUAGCGUGAACUAAACACACCCUAUUUAGAGAUCAUAUAUAGAGAUUGUAAUCAUUAAAUGGAAAAAUAUAUAUUUUGUUACUAUUUUUUAUUUUUUUUUCAUCCUCGUGCAACCAUAUUUUCAUUUUAUAUAAAAUAAGAGUUAAUGUUGAACCGAUGUUUGCCUUUCCUAUUCUUGUGUCUUUUCUACCGAAGAAAUAUUUUCCUAAUUAAUAGUAAGACUAAGAGACAUGUAUUAAUGACCAUUGCAUGCUUCUUUUCUCCAACUUCAAACGUCAGCUCUCUCCUUCUCCGUUAGCACAUAUUUCAAAAUAUUAAAUGGUGCGUAAUUUGCAAAAUAAAAAGUCUACAUAGAAGUUGUUUUAAAAAUCUAAUAAAUCUUUUUAAAAAUUUAUUAAUACUUAACUAAUUAAGUGCUAAUGAGUUUUUUGGUUUCACGUCCUAAAAACUAACCUCUAAUAUGCAUGAUCAAAUGCAGCCUUAACUUACUAAGCCAGAAAUAUCGAAUUUGUCAGAUCUGUACUAAGCGUACGUACACGGGCCAUGGGCCAAGCCGUUAGCCCAACUAUGGUACUCCUUAUAAGUAGGUGUUGUUAAUUGUGAUUGGGUGGCGCUGAUUGCGGUGUUUUAAUAACAAUACUACUCCGUUACUGGGAAACAAGGAAAGAAAUUAGUUAGUGAAGAUUUGAUUUGGCAUACGAAUAAAUAGAAUGAAUUAAAUGGUCAAUUUCCGUUACUGGGACCCAAUAUAUAAGGCACCGAAUUGAAAUAAAUAGAAUGAAUUAAAUGGUCAAUUUCCGUUACGGGGACCCGAUAUACAAGGCACCAAAUUGAAGGCUCUAUAUAUACUCGGUCAGUCCGUCCAUCCAUUCAUCCACGAUCCAUCAUGGAGAAGAGAAGUUGUCUCGAUUCAUUCGUCCGCCGCAGUCGUCCACCGUCCGCCGGCGUCAUCGAUCUGCGCGGCGGCGCCGGACCUCGUUCGCGCCUCCACUCCAAUCUUACAAAGUCGUCUCUGAUCAAAUGAUAUGUUAUUUGAUCACGAGACUUUGUUAGAUUAGAGAUCAAAUGAUAUAUUACGGGUACUAUCGAGAUUGGUUGGUGUUCUAUCCAUCCAUUGAUCCAUGUUCCUUUCUUUUUUGUUUUUUCAAUAUUUGGUGCAACAUGUUCUUUUUUAUUCAACGCAAAACUAUAUUAGGACUCUAUCGUUCUGCUUAUUGACGGCAUAUUUGCAAACGGAAAAUAAUUUAUAAAUAAAUUUUUUACAUACGUGUUUUUAACGAUAUAAAAGCAAAUGCUGAAAAAUAAGCUACGAUGAAAGAACCCUAAAAUCAACUCUAGUGUUUAGAUCUAUUAUAGCAAAAAGUGCUCGAAAACAGUAAAACUUUUAUAGAACCAAACAUGGCCUAAAUUUAAGAUAGAAAAUUUAAAUUUUGGCUUACAAACAUAAAAACAUAAGGCAAAAGACGAGGCACUAGGUUUGGGCCGGCCCAGGUUUUAUAGGUAUAAAAGGAACGACCAGCAUCAUUUCUCCACCUUCCGCCGCCGCCGCCGCCUUCACUGUGUGUGUCUCUCGUCCUCGGCCUCCGCUUCUUCGUUAUUGCAGAUCCGUUUCCCUGUGAGUUUAAGUGGGAAGCCAUGGCCACCAAGGAGGAGGACACAGAGGAGGUCAUGUUCGAGAACAAGUUCACGCGCUACCGCAAAGGAGCGCUCGUCGGGACUAAGUCCGGUUUCGCAUUCAUCGUCUACCCCAUGCCCUCCGUUGGGUAUUUCGACGAUCCUCUGGUGGCCAGGAGGGACCAGGCCUCCGCUCUGGGUGCUGAAGGUAAAGGGAAGAUGGGAAAGGCAUACAUGAGCCAGAAGAAAGGCGUCAAAGCUGGUGGAAGGGCCCGUGGCCGUGGGGCCAAGUAAUUUUGAACCGCUUGUAGUAGGGACGUUUUUUGUUCUAUGUGGUUGAGUUUUGAACAUACCUAAGUUGUAACUAUAAGGUAGCGACUUAGCUGAACCACGCCACUCGGUUACCCACGAAGACAAUUCAGCAGCAGUAACAAUCAUUUGAACCAUACGCUAUUUCGCUGCUGUAUGUGAUACUGCUUUUUUUGCAACUCUGGAAAUAUGUUGAUGUCCUGCUCCGUU